AUGGGCACGGCAUACCAUGCCCUAUGCCAACCACCUACCACCCUCUGGCUUUCUCCGUUGUGGAAAGCCCCCUUACCCUUACGCUCAAAAAAAGCCCCCUUAUCCUUAAAGAUUAAUAUUUUCAUGUGGCAGUUACUACGGGGUCGCCUCCCCUCGGGGACAGAGGUACUUAAGCAGCACGAACCUGGCGAUGGCUUAUUCCCCCUCUGUGAAGUACCGGAGACCGGACGCGUAUCCUUUUCUCCUGUACGGCGAUGCGGUUAUUAUGGACAUUUGUCCGCGAGGCGUUGGGGCCCGACUAGGAGGCCCUGA
rnacentral:rRNA from 1 species